rnacentral:lncRNA from 1 species
CCUGAGGUUGCUUUUAGUGAAUCCGAAGAGGUUGUUGAGUUCAGGUAAGACUUAAGAUGUAGCAGAUUGAACCUAGCUAAGUAGUAAUGUACUCUACUUGGUAAUUUUAAAUGAACUAGCAGAAACCUUGGAUAAACCAUGGAUUAAUGGCUCUUUUAUUUUUCUCGUGCAGCAAGCUGGAUGUGAAACUGCAGCUUGCACUGUACAAGCUUGUGAAGGCGCUGGGUUAUGAUACUCCCGGGGUCACAGAAGUGUUGCAGGAGCCCACGAUGAGCAAAGACCGGCCCCGGCUUCUCUUCUGGGAGACCGAGCUGUGGGAUUUCCUCAACAAAGAUGCAAUGGUACUUGUUUACUACCUAUGUAUUACAAAUGUUGCUUUUAAGUUUUGGACAACUUAUUGUUGAAAGCUUAGUUUAUGGGGCUAACUUCACAAAUUGUUCUGGCAUGGUAUCUAAUUAAUGAAUUGGCAUAGUUUAGUGUAAAAUGGUGCACCCACGUUGUGGGAGGAAAAACAUGACGGUUAGAAAAUAAUUGGGUUGCCUGGCCUAUUUGGCACACUUUCCUAAUUUCAAAUUUACUGUGAACAAGUUCCUAUUGAUUUUAGGAGUGUUGGGUUGUUGUCCAGGACAUCAUCUAAAUUUACUGGGAGCAAGUUUCCUGUUCAUGUUAAAGUGUCGCGUUGUUGUUCAGAACCUCAUUUUCCCCAUCUAAAACAGGGUGCGUCCCGCCGAGCCCCCCAUCCGAAUCCUCAUUAGUGUUGCUGUUGUCCAUCUAUCGUUGGCUUGCAGCCAGAAUCCUUUUGUGAUGUUCUCAGAGGGAGCUAAUUGAGUGAUCCAUUGCCGUGAGGUGGCUGAGCUUUCGAUUGGGAUUACCCUGUAGUGGUAGAAAUGGUGAUGUAUAUGAUACUCUCCAUUCAAAAGUGUUUUUUUAGGGGAAAAGCUUCCCCUCAGCCGGCGGAUCGCACACAAAGCGUCCGUCGCCUUGUACGCCCACCACGUGCUAUGCUAGGCUGCAACCUUAUCCCUUUGUCUCUGCCUUCAGCCGGCGGAUCGCACAGUAAACAGUUCCCUCAACAUGAUCUUUGUUGCAAAAAAAAAAACAGCCACAUGGUCUCUGUUGCGAAAAGUUUUGCAAACAUUUUCGCAACAUGAUCUUUGUUGCGAAAACAUUCCGCAACAUGACCUUUGUUGCAAAAACAUUCAGCAACAUGACCUUUGUUGCAAAGGUUUCUGCAACAUGACUUUUGUUCCAAACAUUUCUGCAACAAUAGCUCUGUUGCAAUAAUGAAGGUUGUCUGUCAGCCGCUUGAUGGGGCGGGAUCUUGCGGCUCGCGACCCGGCCGAUCUUUCAAAAAGAUCAGCCGGCAGACGUGUAGCACGGCCCUUUUUUAGGCAAUUCAGGAAUUGUGUUACUCUGGUCAUGCCCAUAUCUUCCUGCUGCAGUUGACAGUGUAAUUCGAAGUGCAGAGUAGUCUCCGGUAGUACGAUCUGUACGUUCACCUAGCUAACUUUGGUCAUGUUUUUUUUUAUCUCAGUUCCUCACUGUACAUGUUAACUGCAAUUGUUCCCACGAGAACUCUGUACUCUUGUGUCUUUUGCUGCUGUUGUAUGGCUCUGUCAUGGACUCAUGGUAUUUAUGUUCGGGUUGCUCUUACUUAUUUUGCUGCUGCUUGAGGUUCUAUUUCAGUAAAAUUUGUGUGAUAUUCUUGGCUGGACUGAUUUGUUUUCACAGUUAAGAACAUCUUUUAUCUUAUCAAUUGACAGCUUGCACGCUUGAUGUACCAAACUAUCUAUGUACCGUUGUGUAAAAUGAUGCACUGUUAAAUUUUCUGCAUGUUUUUACUUUUUUCUGCGAUGACAAGGGGUACUGGUUAUUUUUCUGAACUUCUCCAGUCAUGCACCGAGUCGAGUUUAUGGUCCAAGUAAUCCGUUUUUACCAUGUGCUGAUGAUACUUCAUUUUUUACAUGCACGUGUUAUAUCAUAUUGCCUUCAAGUUUUACCCUACUUAGUGUUAUCAUAUAUUCCUUAAAUCCUGCUGGAAUCUUUAGAUGUAGUAGGACAGAAGGAAGAUGCUUUAGUUUUUUUACUGUGUGUGAAAUGCAGUUGUUUUUUUCUAGUCGCGCAGAGUUAUUGCAAUUCAGUAAUGUAAUCUUCAAGGACAUCUCAAGGAUGUAGCAUUUCAAGCAAGGAUUUAUUCAUCCCUUAAAUCCUGCUUGAGAAACCAAGCUGGGAUCUUUAAGGGAUUUCUUCAUCCCUUAAAUCCUGUGUGUGAAGUGCCAUUGUUUUUUUUUUCUAGUCACGUAGUGUUAUCGAGAUUCAGUAAUGUAAUCUUGAAGGCCUUCUCAAAGGAGUAUGAAUUUUAGAGGGAAACAUGUCAGUUGGAAAAAAAUGAGUUGCAUGUCCUAUUUGUUUUGCAGUGAACACUAGUAUUUUUUACUUUGAAUAUUACUGUGAGCAAGUUUUCUGUUCAUUUUUGGAGGAGGUAAUAGCAUCCCAGGUACCCUAACUUGCACUCAAUGUGAUGAUUUAGUCCCAAAGUUGCAAAACUUGACCAAACCAUACCCCAACUUGCACCUCAUGUGAUGAUUUAGUCCCAGGCCAAUCACAGCUCGCCAAUUGGCUGCCAAGUGGCUGGACCGGUCAGCACACGCAGUUUUGCAGAAAACCCCCUGCCGUCUCCAAUUAUCAACCCGCAGUCACCCCCACCUGAAUUAAAUCUGUCGACGGCGCCCCCACCGCCACCGCUGCGGACGCGGAUGCCACGCUCGGCGAGCUCGCCUCCAACCUCUGACGCGUACGCCGACGCCGACGCCACGAUGCGCUGCUCACGCAGCAGUUCCCGGUCCGCCCCAGAUCCCAGGCCCAUGCCCUCGACCGCGUCAUGGCCAUCAAGCUGUUGGAGGAGCACCUCAUCCCGCGCUGCGUCGAGUGCCUCGCCAGUGGCAAGGCCCCCGUCCCUGGCAAGACCCCCGACUCCUCCACCUCCUAGCCGGACAGCAGCCCCGACAGGGACGACCCGGACCCAGUCGCGGCCGCCACCGAGGCCCUCGCCAAGGUCGACCUCUCCGACGACCCGGACACCACCGCCACCGCCAAGUCCGGCUCCAGCAAGCCCCGUCAGGCAGCCAGAGGCGGCGGCGGUGACGUGGGCAAGUCACUCGACUACCUGUACCGCGCGUGCAGGAUCGCUCGCCGUGAAGCACAUUGACAUCGCCGUCUCCGUCCUCUCCCUCUUCAUGGAGCCCAAGAAGCUCGCCAGCCUCGCCGAGUGACGCGUACGUGAGUCAUCUUGCUCUGUUAUGUUUCUAGCCAUGGAGGAUUUACUGCUAGUAGUGCGUAGUGGUUUGGAUGAGUGAUUUGGGUAGUCGUUUAGUUCAAUAGAGGUUCAGAUGAGAGAUGAGCACUGUGUUCUGUACUUCUGAUUGCAUUAUGUGGCACCGAAUGGUUGUUGCCUAGCUUAUCCAGUGCGACUUGAAUGAAUUUUGGUGCGAAUUUGGUUGAUCUUCUUGUUCUCUGUUCCGACUGUUUGUUCAACUUCUGUUGUUGCUUGUGCUAAUUUUUUUCCUGCAUGCAUCAGUUACUGUUUAGAUGGCUCAAUUCACUUUCAGUUUUUACUCUGAAUCAUCCUAUGCAUAUAAGGAAUGUUGUUCAGUUGUUAGAAUUCUGUUUGAAAAGCGUGAGCGUUUGAUGAUCAGGCACAGGACCGGAUGCCACAAACUCACUGCAAUGAUCAUUUCGUUCUUCUAUUAUGAUAUACUCCGCGCAUAUUUAUGUGUUUUGUCAGUCCCCUGGAGGUCCUGCAGGCGGUGCUGGAGUUGCAGGAGGCGGUCGCGGUGUCCUGCGGGCUAAAUUGCUAACUGAAUGUCUUUGUCAGUCCCCUUUCGGUUAUGGCUCAUGAACUUAAUUACAGUGUUCAUCUUGUUUCUGUUCUGUUAAGGUGUGCAUGAUUGAUCGACUGCAUGUUCUGUUUUUGCACCGUGGAUCAUGUAGGACGAAUGUCAUUCAGAUACAGGAUCAGCCUUACUGAAACUCUUUGAUAUUCUCGCCUUUUCGGUUUUGACUGAUGAACUCACCUCGGUUAAAUUCUAGCUUAUGACAGAAAUGUUGGUAGCUGCGCUAAGCUUCAGGAUUUUAUCAGUACUUAGGAUUGAUCAACUACAGAACCUGACUAAAGUUACUUUAAUUGUGUCCCAUCAAACAGUUUUUGGAGAGUUGGUUGCUGGGCUAAGUUAGUUUCUGUUGGUUGCUAGGCAAUUUCCUAGUUGUGUCUGAUCAAGCAGUUUUCUAGAGUUGUGCAAAUGCAACUUAAUGUUGGUCAGGUUCUGUAGAAUUAUGCACUGAUAAACUUGUCAUCGUACAUGGUCUUUAUUUAUCGUGUUACCACUCUCGUUUAAAUGCAUUUGUUUUUGGAGACAAGGCAGUGAAAGGAGGUGCAGAGUAACAUGUUUCAGAUUACAUGCAUGUUAAGUACACAAGCCCUACUUUGCAUUUUGCCCAGCGACGUUGCCUCUAUACCAUGUUUUAAACUGCUAAUUCUGCUGUAUAUGCCCUUCCUAGGGUCAUUAAUUUGUGAAUCACAGAAUAUGAGUAGUGUUGUAUUCGAGCUCUGAAUUUCGUACAGUAGAGCACACACACAUGACACAUGUACAAGUAGAGUAAUUCGUACCGUCGUGCUCAUCUCGGUCGCCGAUGCGGCCGGCGUCGCCCUCAUCGGAGUCAUCGUGGUGUACAUAUACUGGAAGCUGCGCGACCGGCGCGGGGACGACGACGACGAGGACGAGGAGGGGCGAGGGCUCUUCGCCUGCCCGUGCAUGCAUGCAAACACCUGCGGGGACUCGUCGGACAGGUCCGACGCGGGCGGUGGCGAGAAGAAACGCGGCAACGGUUCCGGGGGCGGAGGCGGCUGCGAGGACGGGGAGCUGGUGGCGAUCGACAAGGGGUUCCGGAUAGAGCUGGACGAGCUGCUGCGGUCGUCGGCGUACGUGCUGGGGAAGGGCGGGAAGGGGAUCGUGUACAAGGUGGUGGUGUGGUGGUGGGCAACGGGACGACGCCGGUGGCCGUGCGGCGGCUGGGCGGCGGCACCGCGGCCCCAGAGCGGUACAAGGAGUUCGCGGCGGAGGCCGGCGCCGUCGGGCGCGUGCGGCACGCCAACGUGGUGCGGCUGCGCGCCUACUACUGGUCGCCCGACGAGAAGCUCGUCGUCACCGACUUCAUCAACAACGGCAACCUCGCCUCCGCGCUGCGCGGUACGUAACAUCCUCUUCUAUACAAUUCGUGCUCUUUUUUCCAACGGUUUGCUCUGCUCUGAAGAACAGAAUGGGUUGAUAAUUGGAAACGGCAGGGGGGUUUCUGCAAAACUGCGUGUGCUGACCGGUCCAGCCACUUGGCAGCCAAUUGGCGAGCUGUGAUUGGCCUGGGACUAAAUCAUCACAUGAGGUGCAAGUUGAGGUAUGGUUUGGUCAAGUUUUGCAACUUUAGGACUAAAUCAUCACAUUAGGUGCAAGUUAGGGUACCUGGGGUGCUAUUACCUCUUUUUGAAGUGUCGACUUGUUGUUCAGAACCUUCUUUCCAUGUUGAACAGACAGAGAAGGCCCCAUCGAUGUCCCCUUUCAAAAUCACCGGCAAGGGGCUGGAGCUGAUGUCCGAAGAGGAGUACCUCCGCGUCAUCAAUUCUGGGAUCAAAUACGCCGUGGAGUGCAACAACUGCAACCGGGUGCGUCCCGCCAAGCCCCCCCACCCCCCACCCCCCUUCUGAAUCUUCACUUGUGUUGCUGUUGUCGAUCUGUUGUUGGCUUGCAGCCCGGAUCCUCUCGUGAUGUUCUUGGAUGGAGCUAAUUGAGUGACCCGUCGCCGUGAGGUAGCUGAGGUUUCGAUUAGGUUUGCCACGUAGCGGGUACAAAUUGGAAAUGGUGAUUGAUAUUGAUAUUCUCCAUUCAAAAGGGCGGAUUUUUGUAGGUAGUCGAGGAAUUUAGUUAGUCUGGUCACGCCCGUAUCUUCCUGCUGCAAUUGACAGUUUAAAGUGCUGCAGGGUAGUCACUGGCAGUAUGAUGUCUAGGUUUAUCUAGCUAACUUAGGUUAUGGUCCUUCUAUUUCAGUUACCUCACAGGAAUCGUUAACUGCAAUUGUUACCAUGGUCACAAUAGAACUCACCUUCAGUGUAGAUGACUGCAAUUUCUGUAAACACUGGAGUAUUUCCUACUUUCAAUGUUAGUUACUGCGAGCAAGUUUCCUGUUGAUUUCAGGAGUGCCAGUCAGACUUGCUGUUGAGAACCUAAUCCUCUCCAUGUUAAACAGGCUGACAAGAAAAUCACAGGAGAUGACGUGUAUAGGUACAUGAAGAUGCGCGGGGUCACGUCCUUCUCCCCCAAGUUCCUGCAAGAGACCAUACUCGACAAGCUCUAAGCGUAAGACAGGACAACAAAUCUGCUUUGCACAUCCUGUUCCGAGACCCCUACUACGAGCCUCUGAGCUAUAUAUAUGUUCGUGUAUCGUAGCGCGAUGUUAUUAAAGUUUAGAACGGUUCCUAGAGAAUACUUUGUUUAGUAGUAGUAGUAGUAGUAAUGCUGGUUCGGAAGAAAUAAUUAUGUAUAUGUUCUCCGUGAAUGCAUUUGUGGAGUAGGUUUGCUUUGCUAUCUUGUACUAGUAACCUACCGGUUGACGUCAUAUGGUCACAAUGGCUGUGUACACCCUUGUAAAUAGGUCUUAUAUUUUGGUAUGGAGGGCGUAGGUUAUUAAGGGCAUCUUCAAUGCCAAUCUGCAAUUUCCUCGCAUCCUUCCAUGGACAUAGGAGACCAG